AAAAGAAGCUGGAGGCAGCAAAAAAAAAACACACCACUGGCUAAACUAUUUAAAAAUGUCGGGUUUGUUCAGGACAGCCCCGUCUGUCGCUACCAAUGAUGAGCUAGCAGUGAUUAGUGACGAUUCUCUCAGACCGAUCAGUAGUCUGCAGGUUUUCCUCCAAAUCCUUCUUCUCAGUUCUUGGCUG